rnacentral:lncRNA from 10 species
CAAGAAUUUGCAUUUCUAACGUCCCAGGUGAUUCUGAUGCUGCUGCUUCAGAAAAGCUUAAAAAAUAAAACCAGGAGAAUGUGGUAUCAGCAGCCAAGAGAGAGUGGAGCUUUAUAAAUCGGCAGGUCUGUGUGCUGCUGAGCCUAAAUGCACCCCUAUACAUCUUCUCCAUGCAUCUGAGAAAGCAUUGGGCAAUGAAGGAGUCAAUGGUAACUUAUGGCAAAAAUCAUCAUUAAGGAUAAAAGUGGCCAUUACAUAAUGAUGAAGGGAACAGACCUUCCAGCAAGAUAUAACAAUCCUGAACUGUAUGAUCAUAAUGAUGUAGUCUUGACUCAUACAAAGCAACAAUUGAGAGAAUUACAGAAAGAAAAACAUCAAAAUCCACUAUCAGAGCAAAAGAUUUUAACAUGGUUAUUGAAGAAAUACAUAGAACACAUGAACAAAAAAUCAGCAAGUACACAGAAGAUUUGGACAUCCUGUGAACAAGCUAGAUAUGUAUAAACCAUGUCAACAAUCAGAGAAUAUAUUUUCAGAUAUGCAUAAAACAUACAUAUCAUGUGUCACAUCAUGUACCAGGCUGCAAGGCAAGUCUCUCAAGGAAUUUACAGUCUAGUAGAGAGAUAAGUGACCCGUGGUCCACUUGACUUUGUGAUCUGUUUCCUGAUGAAAUUUCAGGAACAAGAAACUAAAAUCAAUGAAAUUGAUUCACUCACUGGUGUGGUGUCCUCGAAUGGCCUCCCUGGCCAAGCACUGGCCAGCCCUGCCUCCUUUUCUGGGCCACCUCCAGCCAGGGCUGGGUAGCUAUCCCAGGGCUGGGUUCUGAACAGAGGCUGCCUCUGGGGAGGGGGGGACUCCAAAUGCUGGGCCCACGGAAUAAAAUAGCCUGAAGGAACAAAACAGCCACUGACCCGAUGGGAAAGAAUAAAAGCCUCCUCUCCUCGACUUGGGCAGAAGGACGGUGAAAGAACAUGCAAGCACAGUUGUGGAUAUUGUGAUUGCUGAUUUAAUUUUUUUUUUCUUUUUUUAAUGGGGCCUGAAUUGUUUCCCUUCCCUGACCUGACCUGUACAAUAAGAGUUUGCCGACCACAGGUCUAAAGAGAAAAAGUUCUCAAACUUUUAAAAUCACUUUCAUGUGGUGCUUCUAGUAACGUCUUGCAGGUGGAACACAGAAGGGAGGCAUCUGGGCUGGGGCCUUCCCCAGCUGCAGAGCUGUUUAUU